rnacentral:rRNA from 1 species
AGACGACGACGGGUAGCCGGCCUGAGAGGGCGACCGGCCACACUGGGACUGAGACACGGCCCAGACACCUACGGGAGGCAGCAGUGGGGAAUAUUGCACAAUGGGGGAAAMCCUGAUGCAGCGACGCAGCGUGCGGGAUGACGGCCUUCGGGUUGUAAACCGCUUUCAGCAGGGAAGAAGCGCAAGUGACGGUACCUGCAGAAGAAGUACCGGCUAACUACGUGCCAGCAGCCGCGGUAAUACGUAGGGUACGAGCGUUGUCCGGAAUUAUUGGGCGUAAAGAGCUCGUAGGUGGUUGGUCACGUCUGCUGUGGAAACGCAACGCUUAACGUUGCGCGUGCAGUGGGUACGGGCUGACUAGAGUGCAGUAGGGGAGUCUGGAAUUCCUGGUGUAGCGGUGAAAUGCGCAGAUWUCAGGAGGAACACCGGUGGCGAAGGCGGGACUYUGGGCUGUAACUGACACUGAGGAGCGAAAGCAUGGGGAGCGAACAGGAUUAGAUACCCUGGUAGUCCAUGCCGUAAACGUUGGGCACUAGGUGUGGGGGGCAUUCCACGUUCUCCGCGCCGUAGCUAACGCAUUAAGUGCCCCGCCUGGGGAGUACG